rnacentral:rRNA from 1 species
AUUGAACGCUGGCGGCAUGCUUUACACAUGUAAGUCGAACGGUAACAGGUUAAGCUGACGAGUGGCGAACGGGUGAGUAAUGCAUCGGAACGUGCCCGGUCGUGGGGGAUAACGCAGCGAAAGCUGCGCUAAUACCGCAUACGAUCUGAGGAUGAAAGCGGGGGACCGUAAGGCCUCGCGCGAUCGGAGCGGCCGAUGUCAGAUUAGGUAGUUGGGGGGGUAAAGGCUCACCAAGACAACGAUCUGUAGCUGGUAUGAGAGGACGACCAGCCACACUGGGACUGAGAGACGGUCCAGACUGCUACGGGAGGCAGCAUUGGGGAAUUUUGGAAAAUGGGAGAAAGCCUGAUCCAGCAAUGCAGCGUGCAAGAAGAAGGCCUUCGGGUUGUAAACUGCUUUUGUACGGAGCGAAAAGGUCUCCUCUAAUACAGGGGGCUCAUGACGGUACCGUAAGAAUAAGCACCGGCUAACUACGUGCCAGCAGCCGCAGUAACAC